GAGGGGAGGUCACCAACAAGAACUGCUAACUCUUGCAUCUGGGCCUAAAACCCCAGUCCCCUUUU
rnacentral:tRNA from 1 species